rnacentral:misc_RNA from 1 species
AAUUAAAAAAUAAAAAAUUAAAUUAACUGAAGUGUUAAGAAAAAAAUCGAAUCAAAUCAAACUAAAAAAGAAAAAGGAGCUUAAAGCAAGGCGAACAACAGCAAGAUGACAUUAAAUGGAUGACGACGAAGAUAACCAGAUGAGUUUGGUUUAGGGUGGAUAAUUGUCUACGACAAUAUCGACUUGGAAAUGAAGACGAGAUGGCAUUGAAUCAAUGACAAGCAAGAACUCACCGAGAGAAAGGAAUUGAGGGGCAAGUACAGUGCAAGCAGUAACAGAAGUAUAGAGAAAGAGAGGAGAAGAAGGAAUGGGAUGGAUUAGACUUAAGGCGAAGAAGAAGAAAUGGUACCUGAGCUUGCUGUGAU